rnacentral:rRNA from 1 species
GACGAACGCUGGCGGCGUGCUUAACACAUGCAAGUCGAACGGAAAGGCCCUGCUUUUGUGGGGUGCUCGAGUGGCGAACGGGUGAGUAACACGUGAGUAACCUGCCCUUGACUUUGGGAUAACUUCAGGAAACUGGGGCUAAUACCGGAUAGGAGCUCCUGCUGCAUGGUGGGGGUUGGAAAGUUUCGGCGGUUGGGGAUGGACUCGCGGCUUAUCAGCUUGUUGGUGGGGUAGUGGCUUACCAGGGCUUUGACGGGUAGCCGGCCUGAGAGGGUGACCGGCCACAUUGGGACUGAGAUACGGCCCAGACUCCUACGGGAGGCAGCAGUGGGGAAUAUUGCACAAUGGGCGGAAGCCUGAUGCAGCAACGCCGCGUGCGGGAUGACGGCCUUCGGGUUGUAAACCGCUUUCGCCUGUGACGAAGCGUGAGUGACGGUAAUGGGUAAAGAAGCACCGGCUAACUACGUGCCAGCAGCCGCGGUGAUACGUAGGGUGCGAGCGUCGUCCGGAUUUAUUGGGCGUAAAGGGCUCGUAGGUGGUUGAUCGCGUCGGAAGUGUAAUCUUGGGGCUUAACCCUGAGCGUGCUUUCGAUACGGGUUGACUUGAGGAAGGUAGGGGAGAAUGGAAUUCCUGGUGGAGCGGUGGAAUGCGCAGAUAUCAGGAGGAACACCAGUGGCGAAGGCGGUUCUCUGGGCCUUUCCUGACGCUGAGGAGCGAAAGCGUGGGGAGCGAACAGGCUUAGAUACCCUGGUAGUCCACGCUGUAAACGGUGGGUACUAGGUGUGGGGUCCAUUCCACGGGUUCCGUGCCGUAGCUAACGCUUUAAGUACCCCGCCUGGGGAGUACGGCCGCAAGGCUAAAACUCAAAGGAAUUGACGGGGCCCCGCACAAGCGGCGGAGCAUGCGGAUUAAUUCGAUGCAACGCGUAGAACCUUACCUGGGUUUGACAUGGAUCGGGAGUGCUCAGAGAUGGGUGUGCCUCUUUUGGGCUCGGUUCACAGGUGGUGCAUGGCUGUCGUCAGCUCGUGUCGUGAGAUGUUGGGUUAAGUCCCGCAACGAGCGCAACCCUUGUUCACUGUUGCCAGCACGUUAUGGUGGGGACUCAGUGGAGACCGCCGGGGUCAACUCGGAGGAAGGUGGGGAUGACGUCAAGUCAUCAUGCCCCUUAUGUCCAGGGCUUCACGCAUGCUACAAUGGCUGGUACAGAGAGUGGCGAGCCUGUGAGGGUGAGCGAAUCUCGGAAAGCCGGUCUCAGUUCGGAUUGGGAUCUGCAACUCGACCUCAUGAAGUCGGAGUCGCUAGUAAUCGCAGAUCAGCAACGCUGCGGUGAAUACGUUCCCGGG